GGGGCGCUGCCCCCAGCCCCCUUCCCCCGGGCCCGGCCCCCCUCGGGGCGGGGGAAGCCCCGGUUUGUCCUGAAGCGGGUUUGACAGGGUCACACUCCGACCACUCAACUUUCCAGCUCCUCUCCCCGGUGCCAUCCCAAGACCACCCAAACUCCUCAGCAUCUCUCCUGCCUCUCCUCAAACGCAACUGUCUUGCUUCCCCCUGGUUGGACAACAGGCCCAUUCAAGCCCAGCCUUCUGGUCUGCGAAGAGUUAAUGGCACAGACUGCCCCAGCCAGUGUUGCCACCUGUCUCCUUUUAACUGUGUAUCCCUGGGUAUCAGGAAAUUCCCCGUGUUUGCUGUCAUUGUCUGAGCUCCUUUCCCACCGAGCCCCUCAUUCUCCAAAUCCCCCUCCUCGAUCACCAGCGGUUUUUAGGGAAACCUGCGAAGUAGAUUAUAACGAUAAAAGAUUGUUCCCCGGAGUUAAGGUCGGGGCUUCCUUUAUUUAUUUAUUUGUAUUUUGCUGGUUUAUGGAACGCCUUUCCUCUGACGUUCUUCAAGGACCUUGGCUUUGGUUUUUAAGUGUUCUCUAACCUUUGAUGCUGAGAAGACUCCGGGAUUAAAUCUACUAAUAACA